rnacentral:rRNA from 1 species
UCCAAUAGCGUAUAUUAAAGUUGCUGCAGUUAAAAAGCUCGUAGUUGGAUCUCGGGUGCAGGCUUGCGGUCCGUCUCGCGGCGGUCACUGCUCGUCCUGGCCUCCUAGCCGGCGUACCGUCCCUUGGUGCUCUUGACUGAGUGUCUCGGGCGGCCGGAACGUUUACUUUGAAGAAAUUAGAGUGCUCAAAGCAGGCCUUUGCCGCCUGCAUAAUGGUGCAUGGAAUAAUGGAAUAGGACCUCGGUUCUAUUUUGUUGGUUUUCGGAGCUCGAGGUAAUGAUUAAUAGGGACUGACGGGGGCAUUCGUAUUGCGGCGCUAGAGGUGAAAUUCUUGGACCGUCGCAAGACGAACUACAGCGAAAGCAUUUGCCAAGCAUGUUUUCAUUAAUCAAGAACGAAAGUCAGAGGUUCGAAGACGAUCAGAUACCGUCGUAGUUCUGACCAUAAACGAUGCCAACUGUCGAUCCGCCGGAGUUGCUUCAAUGACUCGGCGGGCAGCCUCCGGGAAACCAAAGUUUCUGGGUUCCGGGGGGAGUAUGGUUGCAAAGCUGAAACUUAAAGGAAUUGACGGAAG